AGGACUCCCAGUUAAAUUUGGCUUUCAGAUAAAUAGCUAAUAAUUUUCUAAUAUAAACAUGCUUCUUAAAAUACUUGGGGCAUACUUAUACUAAAAAAUAUAUCUGUUGCUCAUCUGAAUUCAAAUUUAAUUUGGCUUCCUGUA
rnacentral:miRNA from 1 species